AACCCUUGCAUUAGACAUUUUCUAAGUAAUUCCUUAAAUCUUUCUUAGGCUUCAUACAAAAUUUCAUCCUCUGAUUGUCAAAAAGAUGUUAUGUCAUUUCUGAGCUU
rnacentral:snoRNA from 2 species